UACUCUCCAGCGUUAAGAUGAGCAGGUUUCACUGGGUGAACACUUGUGAUAGUGGGUGAUGAACUUGGUAUUUCUUACAUUGUUCUGUUCCCUUUCAGACACAUUCAUCCAGCAGAAGAAAGAAGUUGUAAAAGUUGAGCCCAACUACUUAAGAAAUACUUAACCUGCUUGAAACAACUUAAAAACACAUAUUGGGCAACAGGAAGACUAAAAUAUGUAUCAUCGUUUUAUUUUCAGAGCUUUGCAGUUCCUUCUUUGUUAUAGACCAUGCCAGGAGGAAAAGGAUCACUUCCAAAGCUGGUGCCACAUGUCUUGGACUCCAAGCAGACUCCCAGUUAAGUGGACACAGACUUUCAGCUGACGACGCUAGGGUGUGGCCACCCUGAUAGACUUCACUGUGGGAACUGGCUCUAUUUAUUGGGUCUGUGACACAGACUGGGAGGAACUGAUGAACUCCAUUAAAACCAUUUUAACACAGUGAAGCCUGUCAGGAUGCUUUCGAAGUUAAUCUGCUAUGAACUGCUCACUUCUCUGCCCUAAGGGAAUGAUAAAGAAAUUAGCUAUCUAAACUUUCUGGUUGCUUAGAGUUUGAAUAAAGAUGGAUAAAACAGAA